GGCAUUCCAAUGCAUUGUGAAACUUUCUGUGGGCUGUACCGAUCACAUCUGAGGGCUGAGUCAUGCUCAGAAGCUGCUGCAAUUACUGAGAUUUGAAGUGAAAAGGCAAAUAGGAUGGGUAAAAAAAAUGAGACAAUAACUGAGCAAGCCAGACUAUGGCCAAAAUGAAAGGUGAAGAACUCUUACCCUUUGGACCUGUGGUGCAAUACCCAGGCCCCAGGGGGGACACAGGUGGGGAGCCAGAGACUGGGGAUCUUAUUGCCAGAUUAGCUGCCCUACCCAGGAGCACCCCUUCUUCUAUUUCCCCUUCCUCCCUCCCUUUUUUCUUGCCCUCUCUUCUUUCAUGUCUCUUUAUCUUUUCCCCCACAUAUAUCUUCUCCUUUUUUGUCACCCUAGGCCUGGUGUGGUGCCCAGUGGUACCUAGGGACGGUGCGAAGAUUCAUCGGUGACACUCAACAUUGGUUCAGCGAUCUUAUACCAGACCACGCUUUCCACAUCCUCCACAAUACUCAUAUCCGAAAGUGUUAAUUCUGGAAAGAAUUGUUAGCACAGAAAGGAGAAGGAGUAGCAACAUACAAAACCUCAAGGAAGAAUUGAAGAAAAAUGGAUAAAACCAGAGUGCCAACAAA
rnacentral:lncRNA from 1 species